UCAAUGGCCUAACGGCUGAACCAGCAACUUGGGUGAACGCAAAAGCAUGAUGUUUAUAUAAAUAUCAUGUAGUUUUUUUGACUGAGUGUCGGCUAUCUUUAAUAGAGCUUUUAGUUCUAUGGAUAGUAAGGGAUUUUGGUCCCUUUUUUGAAAGCUUCGGCUAUUAGCGGUUUACGCGCAUAAAGUUCUAUAUGGAAUACAGAUAAUGACUAUUUUCUAUAUAUAAGUCUUGACUAAAACACGUGCCAGCAGUCGCGGUAACACGGCAUAGACAAGUGUUAUUCAUCUUUAAUAGGUUUAAAGGGUACCUAGACGGCAGAUUUAGCCUCCAUUGAAUUGGAAUGGUACAUUUUUGCUAGAGUUUUAUGUGAGAGGAUUUUAGUACUAACAGAGUAGAGAUGAUAUUCUUUGAUACUGUAGGGCACUGAUAGCGGCGAAGGCAGACCUUUAUGUAAAAACUGACGUUGAGGGACGAAGGCUUGGGUAACGAACAGGAUUAGGUACCCUAGUAGUCCGGGCAGAGACUGAUGAGUGCCAUAGAUUGGAAAAUGUUUGAUCUAUAAAUGAAAGUGAAAGCACUCCACCUUAAGAGUAAUGCGGCAACGCAGGAACUGAAAUCAUUAGACCGUUUCUGAUAUCAGUAGUGAAGUAUGUUGUUUAAUUCGAUAACCCACGAAAAACCUUACCACAAUUUGAAUAUUAUAAUAACCAAUCUCUUACUUUAAACUAGGGAUUUAGGAAAGUCUUUUAAUAAUUAUAUUAUUAUUUGAUUAAAGUGUUAAUAAUACAGGUGUUGCAUGGCUGUCUUCAGUUGAUGUCGUGAGAUGCAGGUUAGCUCCAGUAAAUCAACGUGAACCCUUGCUUUAUUUUAGGCGGGGUUACAGCCCGCUUACAUAGAGUAGUUCCCCGGUAUAUCGGACAGAUAACAGG
rnacentral:rRNA from 1 species